GAUGAACGCUGACAGAAUGCUUAACACAUGCAAGUCUUUGGCGAAGCUGUGCUUGCACAGCCUAGCCAAGGCGGACGGGUGAGUAACGCGUAAGGAACUUGCCCUGCAGUCAGGGAUAACAGACGGAAACGACUGAUAAGACCUGGUAAAGUCAGGCGGACUCAUGUCCAGCCUGAUGAAAAGAGAUGCUGCAGGAGAGCCUUGCGUCCUAUUAGCUUGUUGGUGGGGUAACGGCCCAACAAGGCGAUGAUAGGUAGCCGGCCUGAGAGGGUGGACGGCCACAGGGGGACUGAGAUACGGCCCUUACUCCUACGGGAGGCAGCAGUGGGGAAUAGUGGACAAGGGGGGCAACCCUGAUCCAGCAAUUCUGUGUGCAAGAUGAAGGUUUUCGGAUUGUAAAGUGCUUUCAGCAGGGAAGAAAAAAAUGACGGUACCUGCAGAAGAAGCGACGGCUAAAUACGUG
rnacentral:rRNA from 1 species